GACGAACGCUGGCGGCGUGCCUAAUACAUGCAAGUCGAACGCAGUGGGGACGGGUGAGUGAAACGUGGGUAACCUCCCAUCAGAGGGGAUAACACUUGGAAACAGGUGCUAAACCGAUACUGAUGGAUGGACCCGCGGUGCAUUCUCUAGUUGGGGGGGUAACGGCUCACCAAGGCCACGAUGCCUAGCUGACCUGAGAGGAGGAUCGGCCACACUGGGACUGAGACACGGCCCAGAAUCCUACGGGAGGCAGCAGUGGGGAAUCUUCGGCAAUGGACGAAAGUCUGACCGAGCAACGCCGCGUGAGUGAAGAAGGUCUUCGGAUCGUAAAACACUGUUGGUAGGGAAGCGGUAUCUAACCAGAAAGCCACGGCUAACUACGUGCCAGCCGCCGCGGUAAUUC
rnacentral:rRNA from 1 species